rnacentral:lncRNA from 1 species
CUGGGACAGUGUCCCAGGUAUUCAGAAAGCAUCACAAAUUCUUGGCACCCGGUGCAAUGAGCUCCACCUUGUAGAACAAUCUCAAUUACCAGAUAAGCAGUCUCCACGCUGCUCUGGGGAGGAUGAAAAGAAACCACAGGGGCUGUGAGCAAAUGAUAGCCCAGAGCAGCUCCAGGCAGAGGCAAGGGGGAUACAGUUGUUCUUUAGCCUGUCAGUUCAGGGCUGCGCCUGGCUGAAUGCAAGGCCUGGCUGCUCUGCUGAGAAGAGUCUUUCCUCCCUGAAGAGAAACUGCAGCAGGAGAAGGAUGAAGGCAAAGAUAGGCAAAUCCCUCAAGCGGGGCAGAACCCUAAGAAUCUCUGCCUCAGGCCGUGUGGUAGAUGCCGUGGAGCUAUGAGGAAAGCCCCUGCCUCCUCAGGAGGACCUGUCUCCUAGAGGAAGCUAGGCCCCACUCUGGGACCCUACUGCCGGCUCCCGGAGUUGGGGGCAUGGACCUCUCUUGUUGGUAAAGCAGUAGUGGCCUGUCACAUGACCCAGUCAUGAGAGCCACGGUAGCCAGGAUUUGGGAGAACACUUGGGUCUCUCACCGAGUCCCCUUGUGUCCUGAGUUGAUUAUGGAAUUUGAGUCGAGAUAUUCUGAGGGAUCAGGCGAUUCUGUCAAGGUCAUUUAGCCACCAUUGGGGGCCCCACGUAAAAGCUGGUUUUCUCCUGGACCCCAAAUUCAGCACUUCCGGGGUUAAAGCCAUCCUCUAUGUCACUGCUCCGCUCUCUUUUGAAGGCAGGAGAGGAGGCAUUGUUUGGUUUUUAAAUAUAAAUCUCAUUUUUCGCUUUACACGUUGAAAGAGCCACAGCUGCCUCUUUUGCCAUUAUCCCUCCCAGUCCCCACCCCCUUCAUCUCCCCUCUCCUCCCUAACCCUGUCCCCAGUUCCCCUCAGCACACCUUUGCUCUCUGGCACCCAGGCAGCUUCCCAAGCUAGCUGCUCUGGGUGUUAGAGGACAGGAGGCAGAGUCAGGGCAUAGGAACCCACGAGAGAAGGGGUGGGGGCUUCUCUUUGAGAGAUGGAUGAUUUAGUAGUCACUGGCUUUAUGUGGCUGCCCAGCAAGUCACCUCAGCCAUCUCUGAGAUCUGGAGCCAGCUUUAGACUGCAGCAGCCAUGGGUGGAGACACCCAUGGGAGUGAGUGCAUGCUGACACAUCUCACCCUCUGGCUCUCAAUUCUUCUACCCUGUCACCUGGAUUGGGUCCAUACAAGCUGAUUGUCACAUUUGAGCAACGCCAUGACCCAGUUUCCUAAUGAGGAGAGUGAGGCUCUUCCAGCAGGGUUAGUACCUUGCUGACUGUGCCCUCAGAUUCAGAACCCAAGAGCACAGCACCAGUGACAGAGCUGGGCUUUGGAACUGGGCCUUUAACUCCUUGCCCAGUGCUCUUCCCACUCUGCUCGGUGGCAUGGGCCAGCAUCUCUUCUGUAUACUGUCAUAGCCUCCAGAAGGCUGGAGGGGCCCCCCAGGACUCGUCUGAAACCAGGGAUCAGCUCCAAACACAGCCAAGAGGCCAACAUGCUCUGCCUCACAAGGCAACAGUGGCUUGAGAUGGCUCCCCGGGCGAAGAUAGGCGCCAACAAGCGAGGAGCCACCGAUUGCACCGAUUGGGAGAUAAUCUCCCUGAGAAAUGAUGGGGACCAGUUGCUUUGGCAGCUGCAGGGCUGCAUCUGAGCCCCAGUGCUGGUGUGUGUGUGUGUACCACCCCCAGAUCCACACCGCUAUUGGCUUGUUGCAGAAACAGAUGUUCUCAAUUCUCUUUGUCCCUAAUAGGCACUUAAAUGCUGGAGGGGGAGCCAGCAAUGGGGACAGAAAUCAUGUGACUAUUUCAGGCUUUUUUUUUUUUUUAAAGAUUAUUUAUUAUUAAUCCAAGUACACUGUAGCUGUCUUCAGAUACACCAGAAGAGGGCAUCAGAUCCCAUUACGGAUGGUUGUGAGCCACCAUGUGGUUGCUGGGAUUUGAACUUAGGACCUUUGGAAGAACAGUUGGUGCUCUUAACCACUGAGCCAUCUGUCCAGCCCCUAUUUCAGGCUUUUUCUGGAAGGGUAGGCUUCUGCAAGACUUGGGGUCUGGGAGUGGGUGUGUCAGAGGAUCAGCCCCCACCCUGAGUGCUUCUGGGAAAAUCCUGGGAAAGCUACCAUAGUAACAGUGGGCAUUGGGUGCUGAGGACAACUUCUUAGAGGAGCUGCCUUCAACCUGUCAUCGGGACUGGCCCCAAAGCUGAAGUCACAGGGAGGGAAUGCUGGGACUUCUGGCCUCCUGCCUCCCAGACUCGAGAGGAUUGGAAGGGGUCAAGGGCUGGUGAGACUGAUGUCUUUUGUUCCAUUCUCACUUGAUCCUUACCUGUCUGUCCAUCCAUCUAGUGUGCACACAUCACCCAUGCAUCUACUGAGAACAUCCAGUAUCUGGCAGCAGCAUGCAGGUUUGCAGGUAAAACAUUUCCCGAAAAAGGCUUUGCACCCCUUUUGCCUGCUGAGCCAUGGCCAUGAUUUAAUGGGAGCUUGGAGCCUUUCCUGCCCCUGAACAGCUCUGCAUCAACCUGCCUCAGUGCCCUGAGCUCCACAAUCCAUCAGCCUUGAGAAUGGAAGGUACCCCAUUUCCCAGAGGUCCAUGCUAAGAUACUGGCAUGCAACCGAGGAGAUUCUC